rnacentral:rRNA from 1 species
GACGAACGCUGGCGGCGUGCCUAAUACAUGCAAGUUGAGCGCUGAAGGUUGGUACUUGUACCAACUGGAUGAGCAGCGAACGGGUGAGUAACGCGUGGGGAAUCUGCCUUUGAGCGGGGGACAACAUUUGGAAACGAAUGCUAAUACCGCAUAAAAACUUUAAACACAAGUUUUAAGUUUGAAAGAUGCAAUUGCAUCACUCAAAGAUGAUCCCGCGUUGUAUUAGCUAGUUGGUGAGGUAAAGGCUCACCAAGGCGAUGAUACAUAGCAGACCUGAGAGGGUGAUCGGCCACAGUGGGACUGAGACACGGCCCACACUCCUACGGGAGGCAGCAGUAGGGAAUCUUCGGCAAUGGACGAAAGUCUGACCGAGCAACGCCGCGUGAGUGAAGAAGGUUUUCGGAUCGUAAAACUCUGUUGGUAGAGAAGAACGUUGGUGAGAGUGGAAAGCUCAUCAAGUGACGGUAACUACCCAGAAAGGGACGGCUAACUACGUG